rnacentral:tRNA from 1 species
GCUCCCGUUGCCCAAUUGGCAGAGGCGGCCGCUUUAAACCCGGCCCGGUGCCGGUUCGACUCCGGCCGGGAGCA